UCUCAGGUGCUGGUUCUUCUGUUCAGAUUGAUUGUUAUUUUUCAAGAUAUAGACCAAAUACAAAUUAUGCUGGGAAAAACAACGACAAAAAAUUUUGAAAAAUCAUAUCUCGAAAACCUAUCCAUAUUAUUUUUUUUAGAUUCAAUUUUCACAAUUUCUGGGCUCAAAUCUAUACGAAAAGUAUAACGGCACUUGGUGUCCAAAAAUGUUUUAUGUUUUUUGUAAACUAGUGAUAUCAGAAUGAAAUUCCUAGAGCUGCUCUUUGAUACAAACCAAGCAUUGCUAAGAAGACACUAUUUAAAGCUCUUCUUAUAGGUAGGAAGACAUCUCGAAAAAAGCCUACAAGGAUUCCCAGGGUGUAACGAGGACAGACAGAUACAUAUGGUGUAUAGUUGGCCUGUCCAAAAGUUAUAUAACUGUGGCGACACACAGGACAAAAAAGUUGUGCUUUUAGUUUACUGUAAAAAUGACAAGAGAUUAUUGUUAAAACAACAAUGAUAACUGUGUUCUCAAUCGAAAUGCGGGCCUCAUCUCAUACUCUUCAACAUGAGAACAUCAUCAUCAUCGACAUUGUUGUGGAUGAAUCCUGGAUCAGGAGCAGGAGGAUAAUCAGAAGCAGAACGGAACUGUGGGUAUGAGGCCAUCAUCAGGCCUUGAGGGCCUGUUAGAUACAUAGACAAGGGCAAAAGGCGAUGGAAUGGAAAUCGAGGCAAAAGCAAAAGGACUUUUGCGUUCGUUCCGUAGCCCUAAAAUCCACUUUAUCUGUCUGUGUAAAUCCUUGAAGCAAUAUUUAUGGAAAUUGAAGCCCUCUCCUGUCUCUUGUGCCUUCAUACAUAUUUUGAACGAGAGAGCAUUAUGAGUAUGAUGAGGGGUUUCAUUUGGUCCUCGUGAUUCCAUUUUGGUUUUCCUUAUUUAUUCUCUCGUUUAUUCGUGGAACCCUAGAUUUUGAUGAUGAAUGUAUAUUUUAUUCCUGUUCCUCUGGAUUCUCCAAUUCUGAUGAUGGGUUUGCCUUUUGUCUUCAGAGGACCUGGAGCCAGGAUAUAUUCCUAUGAAACGAAUUUAUAUAUAUUUUUUUUAUUUUUUUCGAGAUGAAUAGAGCGUGUUUUGUGGAGUGGAGGAGCAGGAGCAGCUCAUUUUGUUUGAAUUUGAAAAAUUUAGUUUAUUUUGAUGCUUUUUGGAGCUGUCAUCGGGAUUUUAAGUGAUUUUGUUCCUUUUUUUUUGUCUUUGUUCUUUUUGUUGUUGUGUUCUGUUUCUAAAAUGGAUAUUAUAUUUGAUGACCUGAUAACUGUGGAGAGCUGUGGG